GCAUAAUCGAUAGUUUUUUAAUUGAAAACUGGAAUGAAGGGUUUAAACUAAAGAGAUAGUUUUAUUUAGUUAUCUUGAAUUUAAAUUAAAAGUAAAAAUGCUUUUAUAAAUUUUUGGGACGAGAAGACCCUAGAAGCUUGUGAUUGAAAAAUUUUUGGUUGGGGCAACAGUUGAAGAUAUAAAUUUUUGAAGAUUUAUUAAUUAUAAAAUGAAGUUACUCUAGGGAUAACAGCAUAAUUUAAUUAACAAGUUCUUAUUAAUAAUUAAGUUUGUGACCUCGAUGUUGAAUUAAUUUUUAUUUUUGGUGAAGAAGCUAAAAAAANNUAGUCUGUUCGACUAUUAAAAAAUUACGUGAUCU
rnacentral:rRNA from 1 species